rnacentral:rRNA from 1 species
CCUACGGGUGGCAGCAGUGAGGAAUAUUGGUCAAUGGCCGGAAGGCUGAACCAGCCAUGCCGCGUGAAGGUCAGUGCCCUAUGGGCGUUAAACUUCUUUUGUGCGGGAGCAAUAAUGGUCACGUGUGGCCAGACGAGAGUACCGUACGAAUAAGCAUCGGCUAACUCCGUGCCAGCAGCCGCGGUAAUACGGGGGAUGCAAGCGUUAUCCGGAAUGAUUGGGCGUAAAGGGUGCGCAGGCGGUCCUGCAAGUCUGGAGUGAAACGCAUGAGCUCAACUCAUGCAUGGCUUUGGAAACUGGAGGACUGGAGAGCAGGAGAGGGCGGUGGAACUCCAUGUGUAGCGGUAAAAUGCGUAGAUAUAUGGAAGAACACCAGUGGCGAAGGCGGCCGCCUGGCCUGUUGCUGACGCUGAGGCACGAAAGCGUGGGGAGCAAAUAGGAUUAGAUACCCCAGUAGUC